rfam:Ophiocordyceps sinensis CO18 unplaced genomic scaffold OCS_Scf_6463, whole genome shotgun sequence.
UGUGGUUUGAUGUAACAGUAACAUAUCCGGCUCAUGACCGGAAUAUAUAGGUGCAAAACCUAUAGCCGCGU